AGCAGACUCCGCGGUGAGCAGGUAGCCCGACGUGGGGCGCCAUCCCAGGACCCUGAGAUCAUGACCUGAGCCAAAGGCAGAUGCUUAACCAUCUGAGCCACUGAGGUGCCCCAGGGUAGAACUUCUGUAAAAAACGUUUUUAGGUAAAGUGGGUAAAAUACAGGCUCUGUGUCUGUAUCUUCUCAAGCUCCUAAAAUUUCCUGGGCGUCCUCUAUGGGAGUCAUUGGAAGUUGCUUUCUUCUUGACCAAACCUGCCUUUCCUCCUGGAAUCGCAUUUGAGAUGAGUCCCAUUUCACUGUUUUUCUAUUGUCCUUUGUCCGUUGGAAAAUAGCAUACUGGACCCGUUGUACAUGGCGGGCACUGUGCUGAGUACUGGGAGCACCGGUUUUCCAAGAUGCGUUGUAUGUUAGGCCUUGGAGAACCAGCCGACUCUCUGUCCUCCCUUUCCACGAAAUACUUGGUCAGGGCUUGCUUCCCGCCAGGCACUGUUCUAAGCACUUUGAGUAUGCUCACUCCCCUAACCCUCUCCAGGACCUCCUGAGAAACUGUUAACUGCCUCCAUUUCACAGAUAAAGACACUGAGGCAUAAAGAGGCUGUGUAGCGUGCUGAGGCUGCACAGCCAGCAAGGGGCAGAGCCCCGGCUGCUGGGAACCCAGCCACCAUCUGGGAUGAGCUCCGGGAGUAGAGACCAGUGGUAACCCCCUGCCGGCAGGUGCCUCCCUGCAUUAGAAGGAAGGACACAGACAGGUUCUCCUGACCGUUGGCCAUGCUGAGGGUUCCCCCGGGGCAAGAGCCCACAUGGUCAGAUCAGGCUCCUCCGCUCAGUGCGGCAUGUGGGUGGCCCAGCGCUAUGGUCGUUGGCUGGUGACCACACCAGAACCGGUUGGGUGACCAUGACUCAGAGCAUAGAAACAUCCUUGCAGCAGACCGAGGAGCCUGCUUUAAUCUGCGCAGCAUAGACCCGGCCCCUGGCUGCCCCGCCAAGGGAGCCCUCCACCAGCUUGACACCCGCGCGUCCCCGCAUGAACACCUGCUGGGGUGACGUGAAGAAGACCGCGUCGCGUGGAUGUGGUUCUCGCGUACAGAGCACAGGGUCGCGCUGCUCUGUGACUCCCCGCGAGCUCCCGGUCCGCUCGCGCUUGCCCAGCCUGUACUCACCGUCCUUACGGCUCUCCUGUCUCCCUGUCCCCUCCCAUGCCCUUCCUCCCAGAGUCCCCCACCUGCUUUCCACCCGUCUCUUGGACUUUCCUUCCUUGGUGUCUCCCCACCUCCGCUCCUCUGUCCAGCCGUAGGAACGGCACUUCCUCUCCCUUCCCCGGAACGAUCUCUAAUUGCGUUUUGUCAGAUGUCAGGCACAGUGACAGAGGAGCCUCAGCAGCGAGCCGAGCGAGCAGAGCGGCUGUUGGGAGCGGCCGUCUGCGGCAGGGCAAGGGGCCGUGGUUUCCGCGUCCUCAGAAGAGGGCGGGCCGGAUCCCCAGUCUGCACAGGACCCAAGGGAGAGGCCUGCGUGCGCUUGGCAUCGGAGUGUCCCCGUCUGCAUGACUUCUUCCACCAAGGUCUCUUCGAGGGGAGAUAACAGCCUCGGAGAGAGAGGCUCAAAGACAUACAUAAACAUUGAGUCGGGGAGGCAGCGGACAGGUGCGGCCGGGGGCAGCUUGCGGAUGGCGGGCCUUUGUCCUGCUUGCUUCGUCGCGCGGCACGCAGUUGAGGCUGGACCUGGGCAGGUCUGGGGAACCGCCGGCCUGGCCCCUCCAUUGCUGGUGCAUGGCCGCUGAGCACACAGCGAACUUUUGCAGGCUUUCGGUGCCAAGUUCUGUAGUUUUGAAGUCAGAACGUGGGUCCUGAUGAGCAAAUGCAUUUGUGCACGAAGAGGAGGUGUUUUGUACCCUGGCGGGAAUGGUAACUAAAACAAGGGGUAAAGCUCAGGAGGCUUCUAGUGCUUUUCAAGCAGGAGGAGGCAGAGGCGGACCCUGAGGGAGUCCUCCAGCGUGACCCUGCAGUUGUUACGGAUACUAUGUCACAAGUUGCAGACAUACACGUUUUUUCACUGAAAUACGUCUCAAAUUGUAUGACAGUGUGUUAGGUUCCUAGUCAUAGUAAAGUACCCCAAAGUGGCUUAAAACAAGACCAGUUUAUUCUCUCAUAGUUCUGGAAGCCAGAGGUCUGAAAUCAAGGUGUCAGCAGGGCCAGGCUCCCACUGAAACCCUGGAUGGGGCCUUCUUUGCCUCUUGCUAGUUUCCGAUGGCUCCCGGAGGCCCUCGGCAGGCCUCGGCUCACGGCUGCUGCUCACAGACCUCUGUCUCUGUUGCCGGAUGGAAUUCUCUGUGUGUCUGUAUCUUUCCUCCUCUUCCUGUAAGGACACUGGUCAUGCUGGAUUAGGAGUCACCUUAAUGGCCUCAUCUUACCUCAGUCACAUCCACAAAGAUCCUGUUUCUAAAGGAGGACACAUGUGCAGGCAUCGGGAGUUAGGACUCCAGCAUAUCUUUUGAGGGGGCGCAUGGUAAUAGAGUUACAUGGAGGAAUGGAACUUACAUACUUUCUUGGUGUAGAAGGGAAUUGGCAGUGGCACAGUAUUAGAAUACCAAACGGAGAAGAGUAAAGUAGGUUUCCAGUGCUGAUGUCUCAGCCUGCCAAGCAGUUCUGGAGGUGAACCCACGUAAGCUCAAAAAGACAAAUCCAUUGUGGGCUGGGCAUGGAAUGAGUAAGGGUUAAGUAAGUAAAACACUUGAUUUUACUUUGCAACAUGACACCAAACAUUGAAGAAUAACUUACUCUAUUUUGCAUAAAAAUAGUAAAAAGCCUUCCAGAUUUUUGGUCUUGAAUUAGACUUUAUAAGACAUUUCCGAAAGAUUGAGAAGUUGAUGGGAUGCCUGGGUAACU